rnacentral:rRNA from 1 species
AGCAGUCGCCACGGUAAUACGUAGGUGGCGAGCGUUGUCCGGAAUUAUUGGGCGUAAAGGGAGCGCAGGCGGACAUAUAAGUCCAUCUUAAAAGUGCGGGGCUCAACCCCGUGAGGGGAUGGAAACUGUAUGCCUUGAGUGCAGGAGAGGAAAGCGGAAUUCCCAGUGUAGCGGUGAAAUGCGUAGAUAUUGGGUGGAACACCAGUGGCGAAGGCGGCUUUCUGGACUGUAACUGACGCUGAGGCUCGAAAGCCAGGGGAGCGAACGGGAUUAGAUACCCCUGUAGUCCCUGUCUCUUAUACA